GCAGGCGCAGCCUCUCGCCCGGCGCCUGCGCACCUGCUCUCUCCUCGAGCCCUGCAGCCCGGCGAAAUGGCUCCCGGCGGGGCCGUUUGCGCAUGCCCAGUCAUGACGGUUGUCGGCGCGGGCCCUAGCGUGGCGGCGCUGCAGUCUGGGCAGUGGGUUGGUUCCUCCUCGGUCCUCUGUCGAGUGGCGACAGGGCCUAGCCACCUGGCGGGGGUGACCUUCGGACGUGCGACCCGCUCGGAGAAGGGAGGGAACUGUGGCCCGCAACAAAGCAGUGACAGGCCCGACAUCCCCUGCAGGGCGAUCUUUCCCUCAGCUGCCUGCCGGAGGAAGGGCCUUUCUGUUUCACAGGGCUAAAGAUGGGGCGCGGUUCCUCCACGGGGCGGCUGCCGGGUGAACGGAACGGGGAUGGAGGCGCUGCCAGAAGAGCCCGAGCUCGAGCCCGCCCUGCCCUCGGCCUCCCCGCCGCGCCGCUCCGCAGGAGCCCCGCUCCUCUCCUGCUCGCUCCGGAGAACCCCAGUCCGGCCUGACCUCGGCCCUCGCGGUCAGGCGCUCCAACCAGAGCGACUCCAGCUCGAACAGCGCUGGGUAAACUGAGGCUGAACCCCGCUGGCUGCAUCCCCAGGAGUCGGGCGUUUACGGUCACGGGAACAGGUUAAUAAACUUUUACGCAGCAGACCCGGAACUUAGGUCCCGAUGUCCGGGUAUCUUAAGAACAAGAAGCAUUCUUAGUUGAAGUUUCGCUUUAAAGAUAAUGAUACAGAUGCUUGCGGAGGACAGGCGUUAUGCAAAGAUUGGCAAUCCUUUGACGAGCCCAGGUAGUACAGCACGUCUCCCCCGUGAUGUUUUUUGGCUUUUAUCUUACAUAUAAACAAGCGUACCCAGGUGGACGCCUUCCUCCUCGUGCUUUUGGGAACACCCUGCUCUAUGGAGUAGCCAUUCUUUUAUUCCUUCACUGCCUUAAUAAACUUGCUUUCACUUUACUCUGUGGACUGGCCUGGAAUUCUUUCUUCCACAAGAUCCACGAAUCCUCUUUUGGGGUCUGGAUCAGGACCCUUUUCCGGUAACACAACCACUCCACUAAAAACUCUUUGUCAGUGAUCUCUAUAUUGUUAGUGGUCAGUUCUCAGUCCUCGUCCUCCGGGAACUACAGCAAAAUCGAUAGUCAUUCUUGCUACACAUGCUUUCUUCACUCCCCAUCCAGGACACCAUGUGCUCUCACUUUCCUCUUAUCCCAAAGACCACAUCUUUGGGUCUCGGUUACCAGUCUCUCCUUUUAAAACCGGCAGCCUGGCCGCUUGCCUGUUUUGAUGGGGUGUAGAGAAAAAGAACGAAAGCCCCUUCCUCAAGUUGUAGCUUAACAUCCAGCCAAUCCACAGCACAAGACCCAAGAAGCUAUUAACCACAAGUUCCUGCUUUGGGGGCCUAGGGACUUCCCCGGGCCCCACAUGUGCAGUUAGACUUAUACUUCAACUAUUGUUACCCCUUCCUCAUUUUCACG
rnacentral:lncRNA from 10 species